GAGGAAGGAGGACAAAAGGCGGGAGUCGCGACCGACCGCCACUGCGCUGGUUGCUGCAUCGCGGGACGUGUCUGGAAGAAGUUCUUUACUUCGCCUAAUUACUGCAUCCCAGCAUUAUGUCGUGCAGAAGCUGCAGCUGGUUUAUCUGCUUCUUUGUGGCGGUAGUCUUAGCUGCUGGCUCCAGUGACACAGAUUCCAUUACAGAAUCCGAUCCUGAAGUCACAGUCUACAGUUCAGAAAAUGACAAUCAAGAGCUGUCCACAGUGGAGCCGGCGUGCGAG